rnacentral:sRNA from 1 species
AUAUAUAUGGAGAGUUU